GAACGAUCAGAAAGCUAUAUUUUUAAAGCAGCAGCUGCAAUGCCUGAAUGAAAAAAAACCACCACUGGACAGAAGCCACAAUCCGACAGGCAAUACUGUGGCAUGCAAAGUCACCAUGCGGCUAUGAAAUGCUGCGGCGGUCAGGAUGCCUCACUCUUCCAAGCCGUACGACACUCAAGCGCUACGUAGGGUGCUGCAACGGCGAAGUUGUUUCUUCACUAAUGAAACAAAGAUUGCACCAAGAAAGCGCACGCCUGUCCGAACGAGAAAAGAUGGGUUCCUUAGUCGUGGAUGAAAUGUUGCUAAAGCAGGCUGCGACAUACGAAAAAAAGGCAGACAGGAUUCAUGGACUAAUUGAAAUGGGAGGUCUGGAGAAGGAACUCGGAAUUGAAAAUGAACUAGCCACACACCUUCUCGCUUUUGUGUUCGUCGGGCUGUCGACGCACUACACCCUCCCGGUCGGAUAUUACUUCACGCAGUCUAUAAAAGGGGAUCAAUUGCACCGACUAGCACUCCAAGUCAUGAGGUCCAUUGAAGAAGCGGGCUUUCAAGUUCUCCGGCUUGCAGCCAACAACCACGCAUCUAACUGCAAGAUGUUUGCCAUAUUCGGAAGUGGUCAAAUAAUUCCAGUCGUGCCACACCCUUUGGACACCAAUCGGAAGUUGUUCCUAGCUUUCGACCACUGCCAUAUCCUCAAAAACCUCCGCAACCAGUUGAUAUCCACCAACAGAGUGCUGUGCAACGGCGGACAGUACUACAGCCCGAAAUAUUUAAAAAUGCUACUGGACAUAAUAGAAAGACAACCUUCAUUCAAGCUUGUGCGGAACCUGACACGGAAACAUGUGUACCCGACAAACUUCGAGAAGAUGAGCGUGAAGAGGGCCCUAGACGUGUUCUCC